GACGAACGCUGGCGGCGUGCUUAACACAUGCAAGUCGAACGGAAAGGCCCUGCUUUUGUGGGGUGCUCGAGUGGCGAACGGGUGAGUAACACGUGAGUAACCUGCCCUUGACUUUGGGAUAACUUCAGGAAACUGGGGCUAAUACCGGAUAGGAGCUCCUGCUGCAUGGUGGGGGUUGGAAAGUUUCGGCGGUUGGGGAUGGACUCGCGGCUUAUCAGCUUGUUGGUGGGGUAGUGGCUUACCAAGGCUUUGACGGGUAGCCGGCCUGAGAGGGUGACCGGCCAAGCUGGGACUGGGAUGCGGCCCAGACUACUACGGGACGGAAGGGUGGGGUAUGUUACAUUAGGGGCGGAAGCCUAGUGUGACAAAGCCACGUGGGGUGAGACAGCCAUCCGGUUGGAAUGCACUGUCGCCUGUGACGAAAUGUUAGUGACGGUAAUGGGUGAAGAAGCACCGGCUAACUACGUG
rnacentral:rRNA from 1 species